GAAGCUGGAAUUGCUAGUAAUGGCAGGUCAGCAUACUGCCGUGAAUACGUUCCCGGGCCCUUGUACACACCGCCCGUCACACCAUGAGAGUCGGAAAUGCCCGAAGUCUGUGACCCAACCGAAAGGAGGGAGCAGCCGAAGGCAGGUCGGAUGACUGGGGUGAAGUCGUAACAAGGUAUC
rnacentral:rRNA from 1 species